rnacentral:rRNA from 1 species
GAUUAACGCUAGCGGCAGGCAUAAUACAUGCAAGUUGAACGGCAGCACAGGUAGCAAUACUGGGUGGCGAGUGGCGCACGGGUGCGUAACACGUAUGCAACCUACCCUAUACAGGCGAAUAACCUUUAGAAAUGAGGGCUAAUACGCCGUAGUAUUACAGAUGGGCAUCUAUUUGUAAUUAAAGAUUUAUCGGUAUAGGAUGGGCAUGCGUCCCAUUAGUUAGUUGGUAAGGUAACGGCUUACCAAGACGAUGAUGGGUAGGGGAUCUGAGAGGACUUACCCCCACACUGGUACUGAGACACGGACCAGACACCUACGGGAGGCAGCAGUAAGGAAUAUUGGGCAAGGGCCGCGAGGCUGACCCAGCCAUGCCGCGUGCAGGAAGACGGCCUUAUGGGUUGUAAACUGCUUUUAUACGGGAAUAAUAGAGUGUACGCGUACAUUUAUGCAAGUAUCGUAUGAAUAAGCAUCGGCUAACUCCGUG